AUUGAACGCUGGCGGCAUGCUUUACACAUGCAAGUCGAACGGCAGCACGAAAGGGCUUGCUCUUUUGGUGGCGAGUGGCGAACGGGUGAGUAAUGCAUCGGAACGUACCGAGUAAUGGGGGAUAACUGUCCGAAAGGAUAGCUAAUACCGCAUACGCUUUGAGAAGGAAAGUGGGGGCUCUUCGGACCUCACGUUAUUCGAGCGGCCGAUGUCUGAUUAGCUAGUUGGUGGGGUAAAGGCCUACCAAGGCGACGAUCAGUAGCGGGUCUGAGAGGAUGAUCCGCCACACUGGGACUGAGACACGGCCCAGACUCCUACGGGAGGCAGCAGUGGGGAAUUUUGGACAAUGGGCGCAAGCCUGAUCCAGCCAUGCCGCGUGUCUGAAGAAGGCCUUCGGGUUGUAAAGGACUUUUGUUAGGGAAGAAAAGGAUAGUGUUAAUACCAUUAUCUGCUGACGGUACCUAAAGAAUAAGCACCGGCUAACUACGUG
rnacentral:rRNA from 1 species